rnacentral:rRNA from 1 species
UGGGGAAUAUUGCACAAUGGGCGCAAGCCUGAUGCAGCCAUGCCGCGUGUGUGAAGAAGGCCUUCGGGUUGUAAAGCACUUUCAGCCGUGAGGAAGGCAUUGUACUUAAUACGUGCAGUGUUUGACGUUAGCGGCAGAAGAAGCACCGGCUAACUCCGUGCCAGCAGCCGCGGUAAUACGGAGGGUGCGAGCGUUAAUCGGAAUUACUGGGCGUAAAGCGCAUGCAGGCGGUCUGUUAAGCAAGAUGUGAAAGCCCCGGGCUUAACCUGGGAACCGCAUUUUGAACUGGCAGGCUAGAGUCUUGUAGAGGGGGGUAGAAUUUCAGGUGUAGCGGUGAAAUGCGUAGAGAUCUGAAGGAAUACCGGUGGCGAAGGCGGCCCCCUGGACAAAGACUGACGCUCAGAUGCGAAAGCGUGGGGAGCAAACAGG